UACGUAGGGUGCGAGCGUUGUCCGGAAUUAUUGGGCGUAAAGAGCUCGUAGGCGGUUUGUCACGUCUGCUGUGAAAUCCCGAGGCUCAACCUCGGGCCCGCAGUGGGUACGGGCAGACUGGAGUGCGGUAGGGGAGAAUGGAAUUCCUGGUGUAGCGGUGGAAUGCGCAGAUAUCAGGAGGAACACCGAUGGCGAAGGCAGUUCUCUGGGCCGUAACUGACGCUGAGGAGCGAAAGCGUGGGGAGCGAACAGG
rnacentral:rRNA from 1 species